rnacentral:tRNA from 1 species
UCCCGUGUGGCUCAGUUGGUAGAGCAUGGCGCUUGCAAUGCCAGGGUUGUGAGAACGAUUCCCACCGGGGGAC